AUGAUAGGCCUGAGCUGGAACUGUCAAGGAAUCGGGGGCGCCUCGACAGUUCGUGAUCUUACCGCCCUCGUCCAGAGUCACCGUCCGCAGUUUGUGUUUUUAUGUGAAACUAGACAAAAAUCUGAGAAAGUUCGUCGCUUGUGUUCUCGUUUAGGUCUUCAUGGUUUUUGUGGAGUUGAUAGCAAUGGUCAAAGUGGUGGAUUAGCUCUGUUU
rnacentral:rRNA from 1 species